rnacentral:rRNA from 1 species
CAAAAACAUAGCURUUAGAAUUAAUUAAUGGUUAAUUCUGCUCAAUGAAUUUUAAAUAGCCGCAGUACACUGACUGUGCAAAGGUAGCAUAAUCAGUUGGCUUAUAAUUGAAGUCUUGUAUGAAUGAAUAAAUGGGGAGUGACUAUAUUGGGAGUAGAAAAUGAAAUUACUUAGUAAGUGCAAAUUCUUACAAAUACAUAAUAGACGAGAAGACCCUAGAAAUUUAAAUUAUCUGUAUAAUAUCUUUUUGUUGGGGCAACAGUGUAACAAAUAAUUUACAUUAUUAGUACAAGAAAACUAUUUGCAAGAUGAAAUUACUCUAGGGAUAACAGCGUAAUAUUUUAUAUGUUUGCGACCUCGAUGUUGGACUAGGAAACGAAUACUUAGAAAGUAAGUUGUAAUGCUCUGUUCGAGCA